UCUGUCCGUCUGUCCGUCCGUUUCUACGCAAACUAGUCUCUCAGUUUUAAAGCUAUCUGCAUGAAACUUUCCCAAAAGUUGUCAUUCUAUUGCAGUGUAGUAUGCUCACAUAUCGGGUACACACUGUACCGCUUAUAUCACUGCAACAUUGUGGCAUUUGCCUAUGUCCAAAUAUUCCCAGCACUUCAAGUGCGGACACACAACAAUGUUAUGCACAUCCUAAAUGCUGAGCCGGCAUGUCUGCAUGCGCGGCCGACUAUUCGGUUACCAUGUGAGCAUUACACUCUCUCUCUCUCAUGCGCGGCCGCUGCUUGCGCCGCCUAUAUACACUUA